rnacentral:rRNA from 1 species
ACGGGAGGCAGCAGUGGGGAAUAUUGCACAAUGGGGGAAACCCUGAUGCAGCGACGCCGCGUGAGUGAAGAAGUAUUUCGGUAUGUAAAGCUCUAUCAGCAGGGAAGAUAAUGACGGUACCUGACUAAGAAGCUCCGGCUAAAUACGUGCCAGCAGCCGCGGUAACACGUAUGGAGCAAGCGUUAUCCGGAUUUACUGGGUGUAAAGGGUGCGUAGGUGGCAGGGCAAGUCAGAUGUGAAAGACCGGGGCUCAACUCCGGGGCUGCAUUUGAAACUGUCUUGCUGGAGUGCAGGAGGGGCAAGCGGAAUUCCUAGUGUAGCGGUGAAAUGCGUAGAUAUUAGGAGGAACACCGGUGGCGAAGGCGGCUUGCUGGACUGAUACUGACACUGAGGCACGAAAGCGUGGGGAGCAAACAGGAUUAGAUACCCUGGUA